GAUGAACGCUGGCGGCGUGCCUAAUACAUGCAAGUCGAGCGAACAGACGAGGAGCUUGCUCCUCUGACGUUAGCGGCGGACGGGUGAGUAACACGUGGAUAACCUACCUAUAAGACUGGGAUAACUUCGGGAAACCGGAGCUAAUACCGGAUAAUAUAUUGAACCGCAUGGUUCAAUAGUGAAAGACGGUUUUGCUGUCACUUAUAGAUGGAUCCGCGCCGCAUUAGCUAGUUGGUAAGGUAACGGCUUACCAAGGCAACGAUGCGUAGCCGACCUGAGAGGGUGGACGGCCACCCGGGAACAGAGGCAGGGUCCAGACUCCUACGGGAGGCAGCAGUAGGGAAUCUUCCGCAAUGGGCGAAAGCCUGACGGAGCAACGCCGCGGGAGUGAUGAAGGUCUUCGGAUCGUAAAACUCUGUUAUUAGGGAAGAACAAAUGUGUAAGUAACUAUGCACGUCUUGACGGUACCUAAUCAGAAAGCCACGGCUAACUACGUG
rnacentral:rRNA from 1 species